CUCCAGUCCUUGCCCUGCUGCAGCCGCCAGCGCUCCUGCGAGCACCCCCCUCCGUGUCCUUAGGCUGCCGGACUCAGUAAACAGACAGAGCGACAGAAAUAAAAACGCAGGAAUUGGUCAGAGAGGUUCAUGACCACGUUCAGAGCAACGCAUCUGUGAUCUAUAAGCACACACCGAAUCAGGAGGAUUCUGGGAGUUGCCCACCAGAAAAAGAUUUGUAAGAAAUGCUCUCCACUUGCCAGCAGAGAAGGCAGCCAUCCUUACCUCAUGACGGCGGUGUCCCUGGGAUUCUGAGAAGCUGGGGUCCAGGCUGAUGUUCUGUUCUGCUGGUGGAUCGCAAGCGAGUGCCGAUGAGGUUUCCAAGCCCUGGCGCUGGCCCUUCGGUCUGUGCUUUUAUGGAGAAGAAAUGGAAACUGAAACUGAUGCGAUGCCGUCAGGAUUCCUGGUGAGGAGAAACGAAACUAAGCUCCUGAGCCUUAAGAUGGAAUGGCCCUCUGGCUCCUUUCCCAGGAGACCAGACCGAGGGAUGCCAGCAAGAAUCUCAGAGCAAGACCUGAAGAAAUGACUCACUGCCCUGACUUCACCUCCGACCAAGGAGCUCUCAUCAUGAGCCCCCUAAUCCGUAGUGUCUUGUGAUUUUGCCCUGUAUAAUCUGUAACCUACACACCAUCAGGGUGUUAGGGCUUUUGCUCAAAAGCUUCCUGUUCUCCUAGGUGGCACCAUUCAUCAUAAAAUAGCCAGUAUUUCUCCCCUGCA